ACUGUCAACAACAUCCCAUCCUGAAGACUCGCUUACCACAACUGAGAGUGGGGAGUCAGUUUGAGGCCUAGCAUCACUUAAACUUCCUCCAAAGGCACAAAAGCCAGAAAAAUGAAGACGGGACAUUUUGAAAUAGUCACCAUGCUGCUGGCAACCAUGAUUCUAGUGGACAUUUUCCAGGUGAAGGCUGAAGUGUUAGACAUGGCAGAUAAUGCAUUUGAUGAUGAAUACCUGAAAUGUACAGACAGGAUGGAAAUUAAAUACGUUCCCCAACUGCUAAAGGAGGAAAAAGCAAGCCACCAGCAAUUAGAUACUGUGUGGGAAAAUGGAAAAGCCAAAUGGGCAGCCCGAAAGACUCAAAUCUUUCUCCCUGUGAAUUUUAAGGAUAACCAUGGAAUAGCCCUGAUGGCAUAUAUUUCUGAAGCUCAAGAGCAAACUCCCUUUUACCAUCUGUUCAGUGAAGCUGUGAAGAUGGCUGGCCAAUCUCGAGAAGAUUAUAUCUAUGGCUUCCAGUUCAAAGCUUUCCACUUUUACCUCACAAGAGCCCUGCAGUUGCUGAGAAGACCUUGUGAGGCCAGUUCCAAAAAUGUGGUAUAUAGAACAAGCCAGGGCACUUCAUUUACAUUUGGAGGGCUAAACCAAGCCAGGUUUGGCCAUUUUACCUUGGCAUAUUCAGCCAAACCUCAGGCUGCUAAUGAUGAGCUCACUGUGUUAUCCAUCUACACAUGCCUUGGAGUUGACAUUGAAAAUUUUCUUGAUAAAGAAAGUGAAAGAAUUACUUUAAUACCUCUGAAUGAGGUUUUUCAAGUGUCACAGGAAGGGGCUGGCAAUAACCUUAUCCUUCAAAGCAUAAACAAGACCUGCAGCCAUUAUGAGUGUGCAUUUCUAGGUGGACUAAAAACCGAAAACUGUAUUGAGAACCUAGAAUAUUUUCAGCCCAUCUAUGUCUACAACCCUGGUGAGUAUGUUCUAAUUUUUAAAAAAUAAUCUUGGUUGGGCAUGGUGGCUCACGUCUGUAAUCCCAGCACUUUGGAAGGCCGAGGUGAGUGGAUCACUUGAGCCCAGGAGUUUGAGACCAGCCUGGGCAACAUGGCGGAACCCCAUCUCUACAAAAAAUACAAAACUUAGCCAGGCAUGGUGGUGUGCACCUGUAGUCCCAGCUACUUGGGAGGCUGAGGCAGGAGGAUCACUUGAGUCUGGGAGGCAGAGGUUGCAGUGAGCCAAGAUUGCACCCACUGCACUCCAGCCUGGGUGACAGGGUGAAACUCUGUCUCCAAAGUUAAUAAUAAUAGUCCUUACCUGGAUGUUUAAUAGCUCUUUCUUGUUUAGCAAAUGUAUUUCUUAGCUGAAGAAAAUUUGCAGAUAUAAAGCAGUGACUUGGCCUAUAUGAGAGGAAAAAAAUAAAGAACCUAUUCUAGGGAAAUAUACCUUCCUCAAAUAAGAGAAUUGGCUUCGUGGAGAUCUGAACAAUAUGGAAAUUUUCUGGGGAAUACGGGUGGUGAGAAUGAAGAGCUAGAGUCAUUCUUGACCAGUUAUGAGGGCUUCUUAGGUAUAGCUCUGUAUUCAGUCAUUG
rnacentral:sRNA from 1 species